CACGUAGGGCGCAAGCGUUGUCCGGAAUUAUUGGGCGUAAAGAGCUCGUAGGCGGUCUGUCGCGUCUGCUGUGAAAACUCGGGGCUUAACCCCGGGCCUGCAGUGGGUACGGGCAGACUAGAGUGCGGUAGGGGAGACUGGAAUUCCUGGUGUAGCGGUGAAAUGCGCAGAUAUCAGGAGGAACACCGGUGGUGAAGGCGGGUCUCUGGGCCGUAACUGACGCUGAGGAGCGAAAGCAUGGGGAGCGAACAGG
rnacentral:rRNA from 1 species